CAAGAAUUAGUUUUUAAUAAAAUUUUAAUUUUGGAGAUUAAAGAUAAGUGUAUUCUUAUUCUUGA
rnacentral:tRNA from 1 species